UACGUAGGGUGCGAGCGUUAAUCGGAAUUACUGGGCGUAAAGCGUGCGCAGGCGGUUUCGUAAGCUGGAGGUGAAAUCCCCGGGCUUAACCUGGGAAUGGCCUUCAGGACUGCGAGGCUAGAGUGCGGCAGAGGGAGGUGGAAUUCCACGUGUAGCAGUGAAAUGCGUAGAGAUGUGGAGGAACACCGAUGGCGAAGGCAGCCUCCUGGGCCAGCACUGACGCUCAUGCACGAAAGCGUGGGGAGCAAACAGG
rnacentral:rRNA from 1 species